CCCAUCGGGGAAUAUAAAUAAAACCCCAUCCCUACCCCCAACGGGGAAACGGGGAAUUUUUUUUCUCUUUUAACAUGCAAACUUUUACGUAAGAAAAAACUCUAUAUUUCAAUUUUACCAGCAUAAGUUUAAAGAUUUUAUAAAAUAUAUAAGUACCCAUAAAUUGCAGAAAAAAUAUAAAUAAAUUUUCUACCAAAUUUAAAUACAUACAUCAAAAAUCAAGUAAAAAAAUUAUCAGAUUGAUAUUUAAGGUAAAAUAGAUCAACCAAAGAGAAAAAUAUAUAUAUACACGAGUUUAAAUACAUACAUCAAAAAUCAAGUAAAAAAAUUAUCAGAUUGAUAUUUAAGGUAAAAUAGAUCAAC
rnacentral:lncRNA from 1 species